rnacentral:rRNA from 1 species
AACAAACGCUGGCGGCGUGCCUAACGCAUGCAAGUCGUACGAGAAAGGGUCCUUCGGGGCCUGAGUAAAGUGGCGCACGGGUGAGUAACGCGUGGAUAAUCUGCCCUUCAGUUGGGAAUAACUCAUCGAAAGGUGGGCUAAUACCGAAUAAUGCUGUGAGACCUCGGUUGAUCAGCCAAAGAGAGCCUCUGCUUGCAAGCCCUCGCUGAAGGAUGAGUCCGCGUACCAUUAGCUAGUUGGUAGGGUAAUGGCCUACCAAGGCGACGAUGGUUAGCUGGUCGGAGAGGAUGAUCAGGCACACUGGAACUGAGACACGGUCCAGACUCCUACGGGAGGCAGCAGUGAGGAAUCUUGCGCAAUGGGGGCAACCCUGACGCAGCAACGCCGCGUGAGUGAGGAAGGUCUUCGGAUCGUAAAGCUCUGUCGGAUGGAAAGAACCGCAUAGGGGUAAACAGCCCCUGUGUCUGACGGUACCAUCAAAGGAAGCACCGGCUAACUCCGUGCCAGCCGCCGCGGUAAGAC